UGUUAAGAGAGCACAUUGCAAGCAGAUGUUUUGCAGGGAUAUUUUUGGUAAAUAACCAGCACUGAAAUAAUUACACUUUUAGUCUCUUUCUUACUUUUUUCCUACUAAUUUGAUCAUUUUUAAAGGAAAAAAUGCUAAUGGAAGCAAACAAUGCUAAGACCAAACAUUUAGAAUUAACUAGUAAUGUAAACAUUGAACUUAUUGUCUAAAGUGCUCUGCAGCACUAAAUGUUUUUUUAAAUCUAAUUGAAAGAGACGUAACAAAAACAUUUUGUUUCUUUUUGUGUUUUCCAGUAUGUUCUCCAUGACCAGGAUAAAAGCAGGAUCAGCUCGCUGACGAAAGACACGUCCGACCCCAGAGCUCUGGCUUACAUUUAUCAACAUGAAGAUUCUUAUGUUCUGUUUUACAUCAAGACAGCUAAUCUGGCAGAUCCAGUUCUUCUUGACAUAAAAGAAGUUUGUCAGAAAGUGGACCCAAGGCCUUUAGGGGAACCCACAAAAGCACAAGUCAGAAGAACACCUCUGAUAAUAACAGCCUGUACAUUUGUUUCGUUGCUCUUACAUCUUUAUGUUCUACUUUGUUUUCAGAAUAUUUCCUCUGUGAUUGAAAUAAACACUUUAGUGUCUCCAGUUCAGGUUCUAAUUUCUUAAAAUCUUCAUUUCUUCUAACAUCUCAAAAAGAUGUCAUGGUUUUGAAACCAUAAUUUGUUGUGUUCUAGGAAGCAUUAAUUGAGAAUGUGGACAAAGAGCCUGAACUGUCAUCAACACAGUCACAGCAGGUACCAAACACAACACUCAACAUGAGGAUCUACGGGAUGAACACGAAUAAUCUGCUGUUUUCAACUGAAGAUUUGAGGGGGUAUUACCCCGAAAUAGCGGUGGGCAAUACUUAGAAUUUGGGUAUCGAUCCAAUACCAAAUAAUUACAGGGCUAGUAUCGCCAAAAUCAAAACCGAUAUUAUUUUCUUGAAAUGUUGUAUUUUAGAAUUAUGUCGGAAAUAUAAUUUUUUUGUUAAUGAAACGUAUAAAUAAAGCACAGGACUGAGACUUUCAGUUAAUAAAAAAUGUUUAUUAGAUAAUUAAAGCAAUAUUUAUUGAGCAACAAACAAAAGCAACACUGUAAUAAAUAAAAAAAACAUCAACAAUGCAACAAAAAAAUCCAUUCCAAGUAUUUGCAAUAUUUUGCUCUUUAAUGACGUACUCUGCUCUCAGAUGAAGCAGGGAGGUGAGAGGAGGUGAGUCACUGUUUACACAGAAAGACAAUGUUACCACAAUCCUGCACAAACUGUGUGUGUUUUUACUCAAACUGAGGUGUUAUUUGCUCAAUCUGGAAACACCGCAGACAGUUAGACGCUGCUCUUGCCUGAACUCCAUAAGUAAAUUCAACCUCUUUGCUGUACGUAUUGAAGAAAAACUGCAACGAAAGCAUCGAUUUUAUCACAGUAAUUUCGAUACUUCAUCUUGGUAUCGAUCAAUACUUCGAUCGAUUUGCCCAACCCAACUCCAAAACUGUCCUCAAUGCAGCAGCUCUCAAGAUGUUUGUGAAAUGGCGAUUAAAAAAAAA
ensembl:lncRNA